UUUUUUGUUUUUUUAAAUACUUUUAAACUUUUAAAUUUUUUUUAAAAAAAAACUUCAAAUAUCGUCGUGUGAUUUCGCGCUAUUUCACUUUAGUAUCCUAUGAUUUAAAGUGUAUAACUUUAGUACGAUAUAAUUUUAUUUUUAUUUUUUUAUUAUCAAUUACACUAAUUUUUUUCAUUAAAUCAGUGUCAAAAUUAAAACUAAAGGGUACUAAAGUGAAUAUUCGAUCAAUCUAGAUAGGGUAUCUGAAGUUUUUUGUAUAUAAUUUAACGAAAUAUUAAGAAAAAAGCUGACAAAAAGAUAAAAAUAAAUCACAGGACACUAACUUGAUAUACUUUAAAUCACAGAAUACUAAAGUGAGAAACUGCGAAACUACAUGGGUGAUAUUUGAAAUUUACCUUUUUUUUUAUUAUUAGUGUGCAUAUGUGUGUU
rnacentral:lncRNA from 1 species